CCAACGUGAACACUGUCUGAAGUUUUGUCGUCUGAGUCGAUUGUAUCGCAAUCAGUUAAAACUUUCAACAAUGGAUCUCUUGGUUCCGGCAUCGAUGAAGAACGCAGCGAAAUGCGAUAAUUAAUGUGAAUUGCAGAAUUCAGUGAAUCAUCGAGUCUUUGAACGCACAUUGCACCCCCUGGUAUUCCGGGGGGUAUGCCUGUCCGAGCGUCAUUGCUGCCCUCAAGCACGGCUUGUGUGUUGGGUCGUCGUCCCCCCCGGGGGACGGGCCCGAAAGGCAGCGGCGGCACCGCGUCCGGUCCUCGAGCGUAUGGGGCUUUGUCACCCGCUCUUGUAGGCCCGGCCGGCUGCUGGCCGACGCUGAAAAGCAACCAAUCUAUUUCAUCAGGUUGACCUCGGAUCAGGUAGGGAUACCCGCUGAACUUAAGCAUAUCA
rnacentral:rRNA from 1 species